AAUUUCUAAAAUACAUUAAAAUUGGUUUUAUACAUAAACACAGACUAAGUGAAAAUAAUGGUAUGCAAUAAAAAAACAAGAACAAAUAUUAAAUAACAAAUCAUUCAUAAAAGUAAAGUAGUUAGACAAGUAUAUAUUUAGGAUAUGUUUUCAAGAUAUUAUGAAUAUGUUUAAAAUUUUAAUGUUUUUUAUUUUCAUAAACUACAUUUUUAUAUUAGAGAAAAACCACUAAAAUGCUAUGAACAUAGAAAUUUUGUUAUAUAGUUUUGAAAGUUAGAUAUUAAAAAAUGCAAUAAAAUGUUUGAAAUGCAGAAGUACAGAGGAAUGUUAAGAAAAAGUUAUGAAGAAAAUGAAAAAAAGCUGUAAAAAAAGAACAUACUUUGGACACAUUCAAUAUGCCAUAGUCUAUAACCAAGAUAGAAGGAAAAAUGAAAGCAAGGAAGAAAACAACUUCAUAGUUGGAUAACAUUAAGGAAUGAACUUUGUGUGAGAAUUCGGAUGCAAGUGUAAAUUUUCACACUGAACUGUGUCACAUCAAAGAUGACUUUUAUCGUCCAAAGAAGGACUCCCCUCACAACAGGGGAUCGUUCAUGUCUAACAGCCGAAGAGGAUCUCUACAGUUGGAGAUCAACAGAGUGUACACCCUCUAAGGACAUAGCUCAGCGGACAUCCAGGGACACCAGUUCCAUACCACCAUACCGUCCUUCGCUCCAUAUCGCCAUCCAAGGGAACUUCAAUUAGAAACCGCCAAUCCCAGUGCGUCAUACCAAUGCCCUAAACGAAGAGAUCAAGUCCUAGUGAGCAAUCAAGAACUAUUCUGUGCUUCAUCCACAAAUCAGCCAGCAGUUUGAUGCAGUUAUAUCAACACAAUCCUGACUGAGAUUAUUAGGGUACCUACUGUAGAGCUCCUUUCAAGCCCAGGUCUGUCUGAUGGUGUCUGUACAUUUUGUGUACUAUGUUAAAUCCAAGUCAGUGCUAUGAAAGUUUAAUGGUAUGCUGUUUUUGUCUGCAAGAGUCACUGCUUUGUGUAAUUAUAAUGUUUAAAAAACAUCUACUUUAUUGAUGCUUCUACUAAAUAAAUAGUUUUCAACUUUGUGCAAUUUUCUGUAGAACAAUUCUUGCAGCAUGUGUAUUUGUUUAAAGUGAAGGCUUACCACAUCAAAACCAGACAAUCUACCAAGAUAUCAGGAUUAUCUGUGCAGUGUCAUCCUUCCACUUUAGGAGAAAAAUCAGCCUUUCUACAGAGGACUUAGUUUUUGAAAUUAAAUAUUUGUGCUUUAUACCUUUUCAUGACGUAUUAACAUUUGAUGACGCUGUAGAAAAAAUAUAUCCUUCAACUGUCGCUUACUUAACUGAUGUUUUUCAUGAAGAUGUCUCUCUUCAUAUUCCCAUAAAGCUGCUUCUUUUGCUGUAAAAAUUUAAAAAAAUUUCAAAUUUCUUAACUGAUAAAAUCAUAUUUAA